rnacentral:rRNA from 1 species
GAUGAGUGACAGGUGCUGCAUGGCUGUCGUCAGCUCGUGUCGUGAGAUGUUGGGUUAAGUCCCGCAACGAGCGCAACCCUCGUCUUUAGUUGCCAUCAUUUAGUUGGGCACUCUAAAGAAACCGCCGGUGAUAAGCCGGAGGAAGGUGGGGAUGACGUCAAGUCCUCAUGGCCCUUACACGCUGGGCUACACACGUGCUACAAUGGCAACUACAGUGGGCAGCAAUCCCGCGAGGGUGAGCUAAUCUCCAAAAGUUGUCUCAGUUCGGAUUGUUCUCUGCAACUCGAGAGCAUGAAGGCGGAAUCGCUAGUAAUCGCGGAUCAGCAUGCCGCGGUGAAUACGUUCCCAGGCCUUGUACACACCGCCCGUCACACCAUGGGAGUUGGAUUCACCCGAAGGCGUUGCGCUAACUCGCAAGAGAGGCAGGCGACCACGGUGGGUUUAGCGACUGGGGUGAAGUCGUAACAAGGUAGCCGUAGGGGAACCUGCGGCUGGAUCACCUCCUUUCUAAG